ensembl:lncRNA
AAGAUGUAUUUUAUGGUGUGUAGCUGGUUGAAAGGUGUGUGCAUAUGCGUGUGCAUGUGCCUGUGUCUCUGAACAGUUGUGUGUGUGUUAUCUUUAAGGUGUGUGUUGAGGUGAGUGUGUGUUAACAUACGUUAAUGUGUGUUAUGUGAGUGUGUGUUGACGUGUUCUAAGGUGAGGGUUUGCGAGGGGAGUUUGUUUUAACUUUGUUCUAACAUUAAUGUCAGUAUGUGUUGACGUGUGUGUCAAUGUCAGUGUUGACGUGUGCGUUACAGUGAGUGUGUGUGUUAACGUGUCUGUUAUCCUGUGUGUUGUGGUGAGUGUGUGUGUUAAGAUGUGUGUUGAGGUGAGUGUGUGUUAAGGCGUGUGUUGAGGCGUGUGUUGAGGCGUGUGUUGAGGCGUGUGUUGAGGCGUGUGUUGAGGUGUGUGUUGAGGCGUGUGUUGAGGUGUGUGUUGAGGUGUGUGUUGAGGCGUGUGUUGAGGCGUG